rnacentral:lncRNA from 13 species
AAGAAAAUGACUGUAAAAACAGUUAAAUCCACAUGGAUUGAUGAGGAAUUACAAAAUGGUAUGAUGAAGAGGGAGGCAAAAGAGAUGGCAUAUAGGUCUGGCUGUAUAACUGAUUGGCAAACGUAUUGCAAAUUGAGAAAUCAUGUGACUAAACUGAAUAAAAAUAAGAAAGUAUANNNNNNNNNNCAAUGACAUUUUGGGCAAAAAAAAUCUACAAUGACAAGUCACCGGUGUCUGACAACGUGGAUGGAAAAUUGAGGAUAAUAGCGGCCGAUAUUUCCAUUCCUAUUUGCCUUGUCUUUAAUUUAAGCCUACUAGAAAGUGUGUGCCCUCAGGCCUGGAGGGAAGCUAAAGUCAUUCCACUACCCAAGAAUAGUAAAGCUCCCUUUACUGGUUUAAAUAGCCGACCAAUCAGUGUGGCUUUUGACAUUAUCGAUCGUAGUCUGCUGCUGAAAAAACGUAUGGCUUUACACCCCCUGCUAUACUNNNNNNNNNNUGACUUUCGUGGAUCCUCUGGGGCGCCUCAACAACAUCCUGAUGCUGACGAGGCAGAGAAGAGUCUCUCCAGAUCAGAACACCAGAUGGACAACGCUAGCCCUUCCUCUCUCCCGGAGUCCCCGUGUCGUGCCUCUCCCGGUAUUGGCUUACUGUUGGGUAUGAAGAGGUUGUCUGUGCUGCUGGUGGACUGCAGGAAAACAACGGGGCUGAGUGGAACUGUGAGAGGAGGAGAAGAGAAGAAAGGAUCAGAUUUGACUCAUCAAAGUAAGUAGUUUAGUAUGAACAAAUACAAUAGAUCUGCCCACUGGUAUCUGUUACCAGGACAACCAGCAGAGUUAUGUUAGUUGACAUGAAGAUAGACUGGUGGAUAUGGAUGUUAUGAAUAUCGUAACACUGAAAAAGGAUUCUGCCAAUGAAAAGAGAGAAACCAAUAGACCAUAUAAAACCUUGAUGAAAGUUAGCUUCAGAGAAAAAAUGUCAAGAUGAUCUAUUUAACUAAUACUGGAGGAAAGCUGUCAUCAGGCUGCCCACUCAAGAGAAAGCUUCAAACUGUAACCAGUGCCUGCAACCUGGUUCAGGUUAUCAGUCAACCUACCAGGGUAGUUACAAACAGUAGAGGAAUGAAAUCAUCAACAUGGUUUGAUCAUAUCUUUACUAAUGCUGCAGAAAUGGGUUUUAAAGCAGUAUCCAAAUCCAUCAGAUGUAGUGAUCACAAUAUAGUAUCCAUGUCUAGGAAAACCACAGUUCCAAAGCCUGGGACUAAUAUUGUGUAUAAGAGGUCAUACAUUUUUUUGUAGUGAUUCCUAUGUUGUUGAUGUAAAUAAUAUUUGUUGGUCCAUGGUGUGUAAUGAUGAGCAACCAGACACUGCCCUUGACACGUUUGAAACUGCUUAUACCAGCUACUAAUAAGCAGCACCCAUUAAGAAAAUGACUGUAAAAACAGUUAAAUCCACAUGGAUUGAUGAGGAAUUACAAAAUGGUAUGAUGAAGAGGGAGGCAAAAGAGAUGGCAUAUAGGUCUGGCUGUAUAACUGAUUGGCAAACGUAUUGCAAAUUGAGAAAUCAUGUGACUAAACUGAAUAAAAAUAAGAAAGUAUAAUAUGAAUGACAUGAAGAAUUAUUGUAAAAAUCUUUGGAGCAUCUUCAAUGACAUUUUGGGCAAAAAAAAUCUACAAUGACAAGUCACCGGUGUCUGACAACGUGGAUGGAAAAUUGAGGAUAAUAGCGGCCGAUAUUUCCAUUCCUAUUUGCCUUGUCUUUAAUUUAAGCCUACUAGAAAGUGUGUGCCCUCAGGCCUGGAGGGAAGCUAAAGUCAUUCCACUACCCAAGAAUAGUAAAGCUCCCUUUACUGGUUUAAAUAGCCGACCAAUCAGUGUGGCUUUUGACAUUAUCGAUCGUAGUCUGCUGCUGAAAAAACGUAUGGCUUUACACCCCCUGCUAUACUACAUAUAUACAUACACCCCCUGCUAUACUACAUAUAUACAUACACACCCUGCUAUACUACAUAUAUACAUACACCCCCUGCUAUAUUGUGGAUAUAUAAUUCCAAAAAAAGCUAACCUUUAUUUAACUAGGCAAGUCCGUUAAGAACAAAUUAUUAUUUUCAAUGACGGCCUAGGGCUGCCUUGUUCAGGGGCAGAACAACAGAGUUUUACCUUGUCAACUCGGGGAUAAGAUCCAGCAACAUUUCGGUUACUGGCCUCCCGCUCUAACCACUAGGCUACCUGCCGCCCCAGAGCUACCUGUCUAACAGAACACAGUGUUCUUUAAUGGAAGCCUGUACAACACAAUCAAGGUAGAAUCAAGAAUUCCCCGGGGCAGCUGUUUAGCACCUGCUUUUUUCAAUCUUUACCAACAACAUGCCAAUGACAUUUGAGUAAAGCCAGUGUGUCUGUAUGCGGAUGACUCAACACUGUACACGUCAGCUACCACGGAAACUGAAAUGACAGCAACACUUCAGAAUGGGUGGCAAGGAAUAAGUUAGUCCUAAAUAUUUCAGAUUACCUUAAAUUACAUGGCCUACUAUGCAUUAUGGAGUCUUAAAGGAGGCCUGUAGCAUCUAAUGAUGAAACAUUAUGGAGUCUUAAAGGAGGACUGUAGCAUCUAAUGAUGAAACAUUAUGGAGUCUUANNNNNNNNNNGGCUGCCUUGUUCAGGGGCAGAACAACAGAGUUUUACCUUGUCAACUCGGGGAUAAGAUCCAGCAACAUUUCGGUUACUGGCCUCCCGCUCUAACCACUAGGCUACCUGCCGCCCCAGAGCUACCUGUCUAACAGAACACAGUGUUCUUUAAUGGAAGCCUGUACAACACAAUCAAGGUAGAAUCAAGAAUUCCCCGGGGCAGCUGUUUAGCACCUGCUUUUUUCAAUCUUUACCAACAACAUGCCAAUGACAUUUGAGUAAAGCCAGUGUGUCUGUAUGCGGAUGACUCAACACUGUACACGUCAGCUACCACGGAAACUGAAAUGACAGCAACACUUCAGAAUGGGUGGCAAGGAAUAAGUUAGUCCUAAAUAUUUCAGAUUACCUUAAAUUACAUGGCCUACUAUGCAUUAUGGAGUCUUAAAGGAGGCCUGUAGCAUCUAAUGAUGAAACAUUAUGGAGUCUUAAAGGAGGACUGUAGCAUCUAAUGAUGAAACAUUAUGGAGUCUUAAUGGAGGACUGUAGCAUCUAAUGAUGAAACAUUAUGGAGUCUUAAAGGAGGACUGUAGCAUCUAAUGAUGAAACAUUAUGGAGUCUUAAUGGAGGACUGUAGCAUCUAAUCAUGAAACAUUAUGGAGUCUUAAAGGAGGACUGUACCAUCUAAUGAUGAAACAUUAUGGAGUCUUAAAGGAGGACUGUAGCAUCUAAUGAUGAAACAUUAUGGAGUCUUAAAGGAGGACUGUAGCAUCUAAUGAUGAAACAUUAUGGAGUCUUAAAGGAGGACUGUAGCAUCUAAUGAUGAAACAUUAUGGAGUCUUAAUGGAGGACUGUAGCAUCUAAUGAUGAAACAUUAUGGAGUCUUAAAGGAGGACUGUAGCAUCUAAUGA